AGAAACACAAAGAACCUGCGAGUACAGUUCAUGGUUAGAACUGCAUAGUUUUGAAAAGUUAAUAUGCUGAGAUUUGAUGAAUAAGAUUAUAUUCGUAAAUAGGUCAAUAGGAUCAAAUCAUGGUACUUAAUAUUUAUCCUUUUAAAAAUACUUAUGCUGUACUUAUUAAUAAAUCUUGCCAUAUACCAGAACAGAAUAUCCAGACAUCGCUUGUAUUCAAGUGCAGCUCAACCCGUGUAAUUGUUUUCAAGCCCAUCUUGACCUUUGUGCACCAUAAGAACCUCAAAAAUCGUGCUCCAAAAACCAUUAUUUCCAUGAAAGAAAGUAAGGCUUGAGACGUGAAAGUUUUAGAACAACAAUAAUUGUUUUUUUUUUUUUUUCUCAAAUGAAUUUAAAUAGUACAGUCGCUUGUUA
rnacentral:lncRNA from 1 species